CGAACAAGAGGAGAAGCCCCAACCUGCUCCUCAGAGAGACAAGGAGGACGAUCAAGAUCAAGAGGUCACCCAUUCACAGCAGGUCUCUGAGGAGACAGUGUUGCAAGAUGAGCAGGAGUCAUCUCUUUCAGAACCCCAUGAUCCCAGCCGAGAAGAGGCAGUGUAGAAAGACUGCAACCAUCAUCUCCAUCUGAGGUUUUUAGCUCCAACACUGUGACCUGGCUGCCUACUAGAAUGCCUUCAUCUCAUCUUGACACUGAAAUGGCCUUCUUGUCCGACAAGAGCAUUGUGUACACCCUCACCCUCGGCGCUGUGUUGACUACUAAGAGUGCUGUUCCACUGCCAAAGGGAGGUGCCCCUUUAACUUGUGGGGCAACUUCCAAUUCGAAUCCCUCCCCAGCCUUCCCCAACUGACUUCCCACUACCCCAUCUGUCCUCCAUCCCCAAGCCCAUCCUCUUAUAGGGUUUCUACUAGUUAGUCUUCUUGUAGCGGCUUGUCCUUUCUAUUCUAUCCUCCCUAUGCUUUUCUCAUUGGCAGACAUUAUGCAAUUCUGUCGUGCAUACUAGAACUUUUAAAAUGUCCAUUGUUAAUACAGUCGAGACAUUUUUCGCAUACUGAACGAAUCUUGUUUGUUUACGGUCGAGCUGUUAAGGAUAUGAAUGUAAGCGUUUAUGUUUAACCAACAUAGACUUAGAAGGGUUAUUGUCACAAACCUGUUCUGUUGCAUUUAAACUACACCAAAAUAAACUGCGUAUCUGAUUGUCGUGGUGAGACGACAGCUGUUUUAGAACUGGACAUCACUGUCUCUGGCUCAAGAACUGUUUUGAUUUUCAGAUGAGAUCAAUCAGCCUUUCUUUUUUAAAAUUUAACGACAUUGUGCCCUAUCUCAUUGCUUUUGUACACACUGCAACCAUAACCCAUAGAGCUCUUCAAUGAAGGGUGACUCUACACCACAUGUCAUGAUAAACCAGUGACCUAUUAUACGUUGCAUUGGUUCUACACUGGAGAGGGAAAGUUGCCUUCUUUGCCCAGGCGUGUGCUAGUCCUCUGAUCAAUCCGAUGUAUAGCUCCCAUUUCCAGGUAAUUUCAGGAAGCAAUAAAGGCACGGAUUGAAUUGAAGUGGUGGUUGGCAAAUUUGAUAAACUUUGAAGAUGGAUAUAGGAAUAUUGAACAAAAAAAAGAUAGGUAGAGCAAUAUUGUUGUACAAACAGCUCAGUGGUGUAGUGGAGCUAUCUGUAGGAACCAUUGUCAGGAGUUUUAAUGUGAACGUGUCAUUCAGAUCAUAUUACAGGGAUAUGGAAUCGUGUCAGGGUAUAUGGGCGCUAAACAGGGGUGGGUGCUUUACUUCAUGAUAUAUAUAUCUAUGUUCAUACAUCUGUAUCGCAAAGAGACAACAUUUCACUGAAAAUUUAUUUUUGUUAUCAUCGAAUUGUUAAUCAGUUUGCAUAAUGUACAAAAUAAAGUAUAUUUUAAAUAUUUUAAGAGAUAUUUUGUAUUUAACCAUGAAAUUUUAUUUCGCAGCACUUAUAUCAAGCUGAAAGUAUCAUAUGUCUGUAUAGUAUCAUACUGAGAGUAUACAUAAUUUUCUAGUGCUUUAAAAUCUAAGAGAGUGAUUUAAGAUGGGAUGGCCCUGUGGUGUGCCUUGAUCACACGAUUCGGUUUAAGUGAGUGAUAGGGUUCAUCAUUGCCAGUGCUGAUGUGAUGGAAACUUUUUGAUUGUGCCAUUAUUUCCUAUUUGAUAGUGCUUUUUCAUACGCUAACAGAGUCAAUGUUGGACGCUCCUUGUGAUAUUAGAUACAUCAAUCCAUCUCAGCUGUUGAUGGUCAGAUUUGACCUGUGUCUUAUUUUUGUCUUUGUAUGUCUUCCAGCUCAAAUCAUGUAUCGUUCUGUUGUUGGUUCCUCGAAAAAUCUUUAGAAAUAAAAUUGGGAAUUUUUUUUCUUUUUCUUCCUUCCACCCUACCUUUCUUCUUUCCCUUGUCCUCCUAAUUCCCUCCUUUCUUUCUUUGUUUCUUUCAUUUCACAGCGUGUUCAUUUUGUGUAAAAUGUUCUGCCGUCCCUAACACUUAUUGCACUAAAGGAUACAAUGCAGUACGCUCUUUCUGGCUAAAACCACGAAUUUGCAAAAAGUGUAACUUUUUUUUUUAAAAAUACAGGGGUUUUUAAUAAAUUUAAAUCAUAACUCAAAACCGAAAACGAUGCUAAAAAAAUCUUCUUGUUGAUUAAAAACAAGUUUGCAGUUACGUGGUUUUUCCCACAACAGCAGUGCUGCAUUGAUGUAACGUUAUCAACAGAUUUGUAGUUAACCAUCACUGUUAAAUCACUCACCAAGUAUCACUUAAUUGUUAUGUAGCAUUUUACAGUUGUAGCAUUUUAUCAACUCAGAUCUUUGUCUUAGAAUUUCAAACAUUUCUUGUAAAUUUGGAAUAAUCAUGUCGCCUUAUUAUGUGUGCAUUACAUUAUACUCCAGGCAAUGCCAAAUAUUAACCUACUAAGCACUGUUUCAUACCUUAGGUUUUUACAAACAACUUACUGUUCUGCCAUCCCUCUGGCUGGAGUGGUACAGUAGCAUUGUGGAUAGUUUCUGCUCUUCAUGCGAUUUAUCUGUAGGAACAUUGAAUCAAAACUGUGAAGUUCAAAUAAUACAAAAGCAUAAUAUUAAAAAGUACAGGAUGAGAUUCAGUGUUUCAAAAACAAGCCCAUAGUCAGCAUCACAGGGAGGACAAGCUGGCACGCCCAUAAUUACUGACACAUCUCAUUCUCAAUUCAUUUUGAAGACUGAAAGGCUUUGCCUCGGUCUUGUGUGUAAACUGCCCCUGACAACAUUUAAAUAGCUAUUUCAGUACAUACGCCCCCCCCCCCCCCCCCCCAAUAAUUGGCAUGUCAGGUACACUUGAACAUAGUGUCAUUUGACUUUUUGUACUGCAGGUUAUGUGCAACAUGAAGUAAUUAUGCACACUUGUAAUAUUUUCUAUUUUCAUAUGAGAUUUAAGUGCUUUUUGUACUCACUGACAUCUUUUUUUCUUCCUUGCAUGAAAUGCAAGAAAGAGGAGGAAAAAAAAUGUUUUUCAUAAAAUAUAUUUGCAUUUGGUACUCCAAUAGUAAAUCCAGUGGGCAAACAUUAUGUUCAUAAUUUAAUUUACAAAACUAUGCCAAGUAUUUAAAAGCUAUUUUUAGAGUAAUUCAAAAGAGAACUCAUUCAUUUUUUUUCUUUAAGACAUGCCUUUAUCUUUGUAUCUAUAAAUAUGAGCAUAAUCCAUAGUCAUAUGAUUGUGCUACUGUUGUAUGAUACUGCAGUCUGAUUCAUAAAUAAACUCUUUGCAUGAA